rnacentral:rRNA from 1 species
CAAUAGCGUAUAUUAAAGUUGUUGCGGUUAAAAAGCUCGUAGUUGGAUUUCUGCUGAGAACGACCGGUCCGCCCUUUGGGUGUGUAUCUGGCUCUUUCUUGGCAUCUUCUUGGUGAACGUUGCUGCACUUGACUGUGUGGAGCGCUACCCAGGACUUUUACUUUGAGGAAAUUAGAGUGUUUCAAGCAGGCAUACGCCUUGAAUACAUUAGCAUGGAAUAAUAAGAUAGGACCUCGGUUCUAUUUUGUUGGUUUCUAGAGCUGAGGUAAUGAUUAAUAGGGAUAGUUGGGGGCAUUCGUAUUUAACUGUCAGAGGUGAAAUUCUUGGAUUUGUUAAAGACGGACGACUGCGAAAGCGUUUGCCCAAGAUGUUUUCAUUGA